rnacentral:rRNA from 1 species
ACUUCAAAUUAUACUACAAAGUGACAGUAAUCAACGCGGCAUGAUCGGAAGUUAAGCAUGGUCGGGCCUGGUUAGUACUCGAAUGGGAGACCAUCUAGGAAGACCAGGUGCUGUA